GCUGGGUGUGGUGGUGGGCGCCUGUAAUCCCAGCUACUCGGGAGGCUGAGGCAGGAGAAUCGCUUGAACCCAGGAGGUGGAGGUUGCCGUGAGCCGAGGUUGUGCCACUGUACUCCAGCCUGGGUGACAGAGCGAGACUCUGUCUCAA
rnacentral:sRNA from 1 species